CUGCUUUACACUACGCUCAAAGCUUUUGGGUAUAUGAGACAGACCCUCAAAUAUAUUAAUUACAGCGAACUGUCUAGUUUUACGUACAUAGUUGUACCAAGACGUAACAUUUCAGAAGAGACCAUUUGCAACGAAGUUUAUCGUUUUCUCUCCAACGGCUAAAAGGAGGUCCACCGAAAAAAAGCCGAAAUAAAUCACGUCGCCGGAAAGAGAGGACUCUGGAGAUCGGAAAGCACAGUUUGCGUUGAAAGGGAGAGCGCGUGAAGCAAGAGGUGAGAGAGAGGUGGUGUUCUGGUGUGAGGGACCCGACCAUCUGGAUCCGUUUCAGAUAAGUGCAGCGGGCCGCAUCUGUCUCUUCAAACGCUGCCAUCGCAGCGCUUCUGCGAGCGUGCUAACAGGUCGCCGCUACAGUCACCCACGGCCAUUCAACACCCCGCUUUCACCAGCUAACAGCUCCUUCCCACUCGCACCACGUUCGGCUGCUUAGCAACACGCGCAUGUGGCAAUCCCACAGUGCCGUGCAUGUGACCGCGGCCCAUAAUCCACUGCAACAACGGCGCAGUUGUCCCGAGGAAACAGUAGCGGACGUCAAGGCCUCGCUGCUUCGGGGGG